rnacentral:lncRNA from 1 species
GGACGGAUGGGGUCAAUGGGGCCACUGGGGUCAGUGGGGUCGUUGGGGUCAAUGGGGCCACUGGGGUCGCUGGGGUCAUUCGGGUCAUUGGGGUCAUUGGGAUGGAUGGGGUCAAUGGGAUUAAUGGGGUCAGUGGGGUCAGUGGGGUCAAUGGGGUCAGUGGGGUCGUUGGGGUCAUUGGGGAUGGGACCAAUGGGAUCAACGAGGUCAAUGGGAUAAAUGGGACCAAUGGGGUCAGUAUCCACCCCAAUCCCACCAGUACCAUCCCAGUAUCACCACAGUAUCAUCCCAGUAUCACCAGUAUCCACCCCAGUAUCACCCCAGUAUCAUCCCAGUAUGACCCGUAUCCAUCCCAGUCCCACCAGUAUCCAUCCCAGUCCCACCAGUAUCCACUCCAGUAUCACCCCAGUAUCAUCCCAGUAUCACCAGUAUCCAUCCCAGUAUCACCAGUAUCUACCCCAGUACCAUCCCAGUAUCACCCCAGUAUCAUCCCAGUGCCACCAGUAUCCAUCCCAAUCCCACCAGUAUCGUCCCAGUCCCACCAGUAUCAUCCCAGUAUGACCAGUAUCCCUCCCAGUCCCACCAGUACCAUCCCAGUAUG